rnacentral:rRNA from 1 species
AUGAACGCUGGCGGCGUGCCUAAUACAUGCAAGUCGAGCGAACAGAUGAGGAGCUUGCUCCUCUGACGUUAGCGGCGGACGGGUGAGUAACACGUGGAUAACCUACCUAUAAGACUGGGAUAACUUCGGGAAACCGGAGCUAAUACCGGAUAAUAUAUUGAACCGCAUGGUUCAAUAGUGAAAGACGGUUUUGCUGUCACUUAUAGAUGGAUCCGCGCCGCAUUAGCUAGUUGGUAAGGUAACGGCUUACCAAGGCAACGAUGCGUAGCCGACCUGAGAGGGUGAUCGGCCACACUGGAACUGAGACACGGUCCAGACUCCUACGGGAGGCAGCAGUACGGAAUAUUCCGCAAUGGGCGAAAGCCUGCCGGAGCAACGCCGCGUGAGUGAUGAAGGUCUUCGGAUCUUAAAACUCUGUUAUUAGGGAAGACCAAAUGUGUAAGUAACUAUGCACGUCUUGACGGUACCUAAUCAGAAAGCCACGGCUAACUACGUG